rnacentral:rRNA from 1 species
UACGGAGGGAGCUAGCGUUGUUCGGAAUUACUGGGCGUAAAGCGCACGUAGGCGGACUCUUAAGUCAGGGGUGAAAUCCUGGAGCUCAACUCCAGAACUGCCUUUGAUACUGGGAGUCUUGAGUUCGGGAGAGGUGAGUGGAACUGCGAGUGUAGAGGUGAAAUUCGUAGAUAUUCGCAAGAACACCAGUGGCGAAGGCGGCUCACUGGCCCGAUACUGACGCUGAGGCACGAAAGCGUGGGGGAGCAAACAGG